rnacentral:rRNA from 1 species
UGGGGAAUUUUGGACAAUGGGCGAAAGCCUGAUCCAGCAAUGCCGCGUGUGUGAAGAAGGCCUUCGGGUUGUAAAGCACUUUUGUCCGGAAAGAAAUGGCUCUGGUUAAUACCUGGGGUCGAUGACGGUACCGGAAGAAUAAGGACCGGCUAACUACGUGCCAGCAGCCGCGGUAAUACGUAGGGUCCAAGCGUUAAUCGGAAUUACUGGGCGUAAAGCGUGCGCAGGCGGUUGUGCAAGACCGAUGUGAAAUCCCCGAGCUUAACUUGGGAAUUGCAUUGGUGACUGCACGGCUAGAGUGUGUCAGAGGGGGGUAGAAUUCCACGUGUAGCAGUGAAAUGCGUAGAGAUGUGGAGGAAUACCGAUGGCGAAGGCAGCCCCCUGGGAUAACACUGACGCUCAUGCACGAAAGCGUGGGGAGCAAACAGGAUUAGAUACCCUGGUAGUCCACGCCCUAAAACCGAUGUCAACUAGUUGUUGGGGAUUCAUUUCCUUAGUAACGUAGCUAACGCGUGAAG